AACGAACGCUGGCGGCGUGCUUAACACAUGCAAGUCGAACGCGAAAGGGACUUCGGUCCUGAGUAGAGUGGCGCACGGGUGAGUAACGCGUAGAUAACCUGUCCUUGUGUCUGGAAUAAUACGUCGAAAGGUGUACUAAUACCGGAUAUUCUUGCUUUAUAUAAGUUUUGCAAGCAAAGGUGGCCUCUGACAUAAGCUAUCGCAUAAGGAGGGGUCUGCGUACCAUUAGCUAGUAGGUGGGGUAAUGGCCUACCUAGGCUUCGAUGGUUAACGGGUCUGAGAGGAUGAUCCGUCACACUGGCACUGGAACACGGGCCAGACACCUACGGGAGGCUG
rnacentral:rRNA from 1 species